GGUUAAGCGACUAAGCGUACACGGUGGAUGCCUAGGCAAUCAGAGGCGAUGAAGGACGUGCCAUCUGCGAUAAGCGUCGGUAAGGUGAUAUGAACCGUUACAACCGACGAUUUCGAAUAAACCCAGUAAUUCGUUGCACUAUCGUUUGAUGAAUACAUAGUCAAACGAAGCGAACCGAACUCUGAAACAUCUCAGUACCCCGAGGAAAAGAAAUCAACCGAGAUUCUAGUAGCGGCGAGCGAACGGGGGCAGCCCAGAGUCUUAAUCAGCAUUAGCAUCAGGAGAACGGUCUGGAAAGUCCGGCAGUAAAGGGUGAUAGCCCCGUAUCCGAAGGUGUUAGUGUUGUGAACUCGACGAGUGCGGGACACGUGUUAUCCUGUCUGAAUAUGGGGGACCAUCCUCCGCUAAAUACUCCUGAUUGACCGAUAGUGAACCAGUACCGUGAGGGAAAGGCGAAAAGAACCCCGGCGAGAGUGAAAUAGAACCUGAAACCGUGCGCAAAGUGGAGCCCCAUCACCAAGCGUCGGCAAUUGAGUGAGGGUGUAAACCAUCACAAUAAUAAAGCAGGAUUUGGCAAUAAGAUUGGCGAUUUUUUCAAGCCGUCGCAAAAACAGGCCAUGAGCGCGGAAGUUGAAAAGCGGUGGAACGUCGUAAAGACAAGCGGGACAUUUGAGGAUGGGGUGACUGCGUACCUUUGUAUAAUGGGUCAGCGACUUAUAUUCUGUAGCAAGGUUAACCGUAUAGGGAGCCGGGAAACCGAGUCUUAACUGGGCGAAUAAGUUGCAGGGUAUAGACCCGAAACCCGGUGAUCUAGCCAUGGGCAGGUUGAAGGUUGGGUAACACUAACUGGAGGACCGAACCGACUAAUGUUGAAAAAUUAGCGAUGACUUGUGGCUGGGGUGAAAGGCCAAUCAAACCGGGAGAUAGCUGGUUCUCCCCGAAAGCUAUUUAGGUAGCGCCUCGUGAACUCAUCUCGGGGUAGAGCACUGUUUCGACUAGGGGGUCAUCCCGACUUACCAACUCGAUGCAAACUACGAAUACCGAAGAAUGUUAUCACGGAGACACACGGCGGGUGCUAACGUUCGUCGUGAAGAGGGAAACAAACCAGACCGCCAGCUAAGGUCCCAAAGUCAUAGUUAAGUGGGAAACGAGUGGGAAGGCUCAGACAGCCAGGAUGUUGGCUUAGAAGCAGCCAUCAUUUAAAGAAAGCGUAAUAGCUCACUGGUCGAGUCGGCCUGCGCGGAAGAUGUAACGGGGCUAAACCAUGCACCGAAGCUGCGGCAGCGAUAUGUAAAUAUUGUUGGGUAGGGGAGCGUUCUGUAAGCCUGUGAAGGUGUGCUGUGAGGCAUGCUGGAGGUAUCAGAAGUGCGAAUGCUGACAUAAGUAACGAUAAUGCGUGAAAACCCGCACGCCGGAAGACCAAGGGUUCCUGUCCAACGUUAAUCGGGGCAGGGUGAGUCGACCCUAAGGCGAGGCAGAAAUGCGUAGUCGAUGGGAAACGGGUUAAUAUUCCCGUACUGGUGAUAACGAUGGGGACGGAGAAGCGCUAUCCGGGCGACGGUUGUCCCGGUUUAAGGAUGUAGGCAGGUGAAUUAGGCAAAUCCGGUUCACUAUAUGCUGAGGUCCGACGACGAGUCACUACGGUGAUGAAGUAGCUCAUGCCCCGCUUCCAGGAAAAGCCUCUAAGCUCUAGAUCAAAUCGUACCCCAAACCGACACAGGUGGUCAGGUAGAGAAUAUCAGGCGCUUGAGAGAACUCGGGUGAAGGAACUAGGCAAAAUGGUGCCGUAACUUCGGGAGAAGGCACGCUGGCAUUAGGUGAAGUGAUUUACCAUGGAGCUGAAGCCAGUCGCAGAUACCAGCUGGCUGCAACUGUUUAUUAAAAACACAGCACUGUGCAAACACGAAAGUGGACGUAUACGGUGUGACGCCUGCCCGGUGCUGGAAGGUUAAUUGAUGGGGUUAUCCGUAAGGAGAAGCUCUUGAUCGAAGCCCCAGUAAACGGCGGCCGUAACUAUAACGGUCCUAAGGUAGCGAAAUUCCUUGUCGGGUAAGUUCCGACCUGCACGAAUGGCGUAAUGAUGGCCAGGCUGUCUCCACCCGAGACUCAGUGAAAUUGAACUGCUGUGAAGAUGCAGUGUACCGCGGCAAGACGGAAAGCCCCGUGAACCUUUACUAUAGCUUGACACUGAACAUUGAGCCUUGAUGUGUAGGAUAGGUGGGAGGCUUGAAGCGUGGACGCCAGUCUCGUGGAGCCAACCUUGAAAUACCACCCUUUAAUGUUUGAUGUUCUAACGUUGCCCCAUUAUCUGGGGUGACAGUGUCUGGUGGGUAGUUUGACUGGGGCGGUCUCCUCCCAAAGAGUAACGGAGGAGCACGAAGGUUGGCUAAGCAUGGUCGGACAUCAUGCGGUUAGUGCAAGGCAUAAGCCAGCUUGACUGCGAGAGUGACGGCUCGAGCAGGUACGAAAGUAGGUCUUAGUGAUCCGGUGGUUCUGAAUGGAAGGGCCAUCGCUCAACGGAUAAAAGGUACCUGGGGAUAACAGGCUGAUACCGCCCAAGAGUUCAUAUCGACGGCGGUGUUUGGCACCUCGAUGUCGGCUCAUCACAUCCUGGGGCUGAAGUAGGUCCCAAGGGUACGGCUGUUCGCCGUUUAAAGUGGUACGCGAGCUGGGUUUAGAACGUCGUGAGACAGUUCGGUCCCUAUCCCGUGGGCGUUGGAAGAUUGAAAGGGGCUGCUCCUAGUACGAGAGGACCGGAGUGGACGCACCACUGGUGUUCGGGUUGUCGCCAAUGGCAUUGCCCGGUAGCUAAGUGCGGAAGAGAUAACCGCUGAAAGCAUCUAAGCGGGAAACUUGCCUUGAGAUGAGUCUUCCUGACUUUAAGGGUCCUAAAGGAACGUUUAAGACUAAGACGUUGAUAGGUUGGGUGUGUAAGAUACGUUGAGCUAACCAAUACUAAUGAACCGUGAGGCUUAACCUG
rnacentral:rRNA from 1 species